rnacentral:rRNA from 1 species
UACAGAGGAUGCAAGCGUUGUCCGGAAUGAUUGGGCGUAAAGCGUGUGUAGGUGGCUUUUUAAGUCCGCCGUGAAAUCCCAGGGCUCAACUCUGGACAGGCGGUGGAAACUACCAAGCUGGAGUACGGUAGGGGCAGAGGGAAUUUCCGGUGGAGCGGUGAAAUGCGUAGAGAUCGGAAGGAACGCCGGUGGCGAAAGCGACGUGCUGGACCUCUUCUGACGCUGAGGCGCGAAAGCUAGGGGAGCAAACGGG